GACGAACGCUGGCGGCGUGCUUAACACAUGCAAGUCGAACGGAAAGGCCCUGCUUUUGUGGGGUGCUCGAGUGGCGAACGGUUGAGUAACACGUGAGUAACCUGCCCUUGACUUUGGGAUAACUUCAGGAAACUGGGGCUAAUACCGGAUAGGAGCUCCUGCUGCAUGGUGGGGGUUGGAAAGUUUCGGCGGUUGGGGAUGGACUCGCGGCUUAUCAGCUUGUUGGUGGGGUAGUGGCUUACCAAGGCUUUGACGGGUAGCCGGCCUGAGAGGGUGACCGGCCACAUUGGGACUGAGAUACGACCCAGACUCCUACGGGAGGCAGCAGUGGGGAAUAUUGCACAAUGGGCGGAAGCCUGAUGCAGCAACGCCGCGUGCGGGAUGACGGCCUUCGGGUUGUAAACCGCUUUCGCCUGUGACGAAGCGUGAGUGACGGUAAUGGGUAAAGAAGCACCGGCUAACUACGUG
rnacentral:rRNA from 1 species